CACAGAGAAGUUUCCAGGAAGAUCUGGAGUUAAGGGAAGGGUUUCUGUCCUUCCACCACGAUCCUAUCUCCCCAAAUGAACUGCUGUGGCCACAGGCAGCCAUUGCUUUGGUAGCCCGAGCUGCUGUGGAUGAAAACACACUGGACCAUCAGUCAGGCUGCUCCUGGCUACCAAAAAAACCCCCUUGGGACUGG
rnacentral:lncRNA from 12 species